UACAGAGGUCCCAAGCGUUGUUCGGAUUCACUGGGCGUAAAGGGUGCGUAGGUGGCUUGGUAAGUUCGAUGUGAAAUCUCCGGGCUUAACCCGGAAAUGGCAUUGAAUACUAUUGAGCUGGAGGUUUGGAGGGGGGACUGGAAUUCUCGGUGUAGCAGUGAAAUGCGUAGAUAUCGAGAGGAACACCAGUGGCGAAGGCGAGUCCCUGGACAACACCUGACACUGAGGCACGAAAGCUAGGGGAGCAAACGGG
rnacentral:rRNA from 1 species